UACGGAGGGUGCAAGCGUUAUCCGGAUUCACUGGGUUUAAAGGGUGCGUAGGUGGGGAGGUAAGUCAGCGGUGAAAUCCCCGAGCUUAACUUGGGAACUGCCAUUGAUACUAUCUGUCUUGAAUAUUGUGGAGGUGAGCGGAAUAUGUCAUGUAGCGGUGAAAUGCUUAGAUAUGACAUAGAACACCAAUUGCGAAGGCAGCUCGCUACACAAAUAUUGACUCUGAGGCACGAAAGCGUGGGGAUCAAACAGG
rnacentral:rRNA from 1 species